rnacentral:misc_RNA from 1 species
GAUUGUCAGAGCAGGUCUAAGCUUAUAGGCGGUAGCUAAGAAGUUCUUUCUUGCACAUUGCUUAACACAUGCAAUUCGAGCAACACUAAGAGACAGGCGUCAAAACCAAAUGACUCAGGGCAUCUCCAAUCGGUGGCCUUGGGAGCUCCUGGUCGAGGAGUUUGCUGCUUCCUGCGGAAGUCUAAGGCUGAUCCCUGCUGCUAGUGUAAUUUAUUCUAAGGCUCUUCGAGUUUAUUCACUCUCUGCUAAUCCCUUACGAGUCUCAAGACUCUUCGGUCACCGGAAAGUAGUUCUUUUCU